GCUGGGUGUGGUGGUGCAUACCAGUAAUCCCAGCCACUUGGGAGGCUGAGGCAGAAGGAUUGCCAAUUUGAGGUCAAGUGUGACAACUUAACAAGACUCUGUCUAAA
rnacentral:sRNA from 1 species